UAGGGAAUCUUCCGCAAUGGACGCAAGUCUGACGGAGCAACGCCGCGUGAGUGAAGAAGGAUUUCGGUUCGUAAAACUCUGUUGUUAGAGAAGAACAGCGCAUAGAGUAACUGUUAUGCGUGUGACGGUAUCUAACCAGAAAGCCACGGCUAACUACGUGCCAGCAGCCGCGGUAAUACGUAGGUGGCAAGCGUUGUCCGGAUUUAUUUGGCGUAAAGCGAGCGCAGGCGGUCAAUUAAGUCUGAUGUGAAAGCCCCCGGAUCAAGCGGGGAGGGUCAUUGGAAACUGGUUGACUUGAGUGCAGAAGAGGAGGGUGGAAUUCCAUGUGUAGCGGUGUAAUGCGUAGAUAUAUGGAGGAACACUAGUGGCGAAGGCGACUCUCUGGUCUGUAACUGUAGAUGAGGCUCGAAAGCGUGGGUAGCAAACAGG
rnacentral:rRNA from 1 species